GCCGUGGUAGUUCAGCCUGGGAGAACGCCGGACUGAAGAUCCGGUUGUCGCCGGUUCAAAUCCGGCCCACGGCA
rnacentral:tRNA from 1 species